rfam:Spinacia oleracea cultivar SynViroflay scaffold51373.con0002.1, whole genome shotgun sequence.
AGCCUAUUAGCUCAACAGGCCGAGCACCGUGCACCUUGCGCGGAGAUGUAGGUUCAAAUCCUAUAUAGGCUA